AUUGAACGCUGGCGGCAUGCCUUACACAUGCAAGUCGAACAGCAGCACGGGUGCUUGCACCUGGUGGCGAGUGGCGAACGGGUGAGUAAUACAUCGGAACGUACCUUAUCGUGGGGGAUAACGCAGCGAAAGCUGUGCUAAUACCGCAUACGCCCUGAGGGGGAAAGCGGGGGAUCGCAAGACCUCGCGCGAUUAGAGCGGCCGGGGCCUGAUUAGCUGGUUGGUGGGGUAAAAGCCCACCAAGGCGACGAUCAGUCGCUGGUCUGAGGGGACGAUCAGCCACACUGGGACUGGGACACAGCCCAGACUACUACGGGGGGCAGCAGUGGGGAAUUUUGGACAAUGGGGGCAACCCUGAUCCAGCAAUGCCGCGUGAGUGAAGAAGGCCUUCGGGUUGUAAAGCUCUUUUGUCAGGGAGCAAAUCCUGGCCUCUAAUACAGGUCGGGGAUGAGAGUACCAGAAGAAUAAGGACCGGCUAACUACGUGCCAGCAGCCGCGGUAA
rnacentral:rRNA from 1 species